rnacentral:rRNA from 1 species
UACGUAGGGUGCAAGCGUUGUCCGGAAUUAUUGGGCGUAAAGAGCUGGUAGGCGGUCUGUCACGUCGGCUGUGAAAACCCGAGGCUCAACCUCGGGCCUGCAGUCGAUACGGGCAAACUAGAGUACUGCAGGGGAGACUGGAAUUCCUGGUGUAGCGGUGAAAUGCGCAGAUAUCAGGAGGAACACCGGUGGCGAAGGCGGGUCUCUGGGCAGUAACUGACGCUGAGGAGCGAAAGCGUGGGGAGCAAACAGG